CUUAGGAAAGCUAUCAGGUGAUGAGUGCUGGUCCAUCAUAAAAAGAAAGGUGCUCGCAAGGGAAGAGAAGUAACAAAAGAAUUGGAAGCAAUACAGGAGCAAAUUUUAAGGAGAUGCGAUGGCCUACCCUUGGCGGCAAGUUUGAUUGGUGGCUUGUUUAACAACAGAAGAGAGAAGUGGCACUCCAUUGUGCAGGAGAGUCUUUUGAAUGAAUAUCAAAGCCAAAUUAAUCAAAUACUUAAGGUGAGCUUUGAUCAUUUAUCACCUCCAUCAGUUAAGAAAUGUUUUGCAUAUUGCUCGAUUUUUCCCCAGGACACUGAAUUGGGAGAAGAUGAACUAAUUGAGCACUGGGUUGCUGAAGGUUUUGUUCUACCGGAUCAGAAAAACACAAGAAUGAUGGAGGAAACAGGAGGCGAGUAUUUGAGGAUUUUGUUACAAAAUUCCUUACUGGAAAAAGUCCAAGACAAGUUGAGGACAUACUAUAAAAUGCACGAUCUCGUGCAUGAUUUUGCAAAAUCAAUUCUCAAUCCAGAAAGCAGCAAUCAAGAUCGAUAUCUUGCAUUGAACUCUUCUGAAGGUUUGGUAGAAAAAACCACAAUGACAAUACCAGCAUCAAUUCGUACGUUAUUUCUCCAUCUAGAGGAUGGCAUAUCUGCUGGCAUGCUUUUAAGAUUCAAGUACUUGCAUGUUCUCAGAUUGUCUGGCAAUGAUGUCGUGUUUCUACCGAGCUCCAUUGGCAAACUAUUACAUUUGCGGUUGCUCGACAUUUCAUCUUCUCGAAUCAAAAGUUUGCCAGAAUCUCUUUGCAAGCUAUAUAAUUUGCAGACACUAACGAUUCGAAAUAAUGCACUUGGAGAAGGUUUUCCAAAACGGAUGAAUGAUUUGAUUAGCUUGAGGCAUCUAAACUACUAUCAUCAUCGUGCAAAAUUUAAAAUGCCGAUGCAAAUGGGACAAUUGACUUGUCUUCAAACUCUGAAGUUCUUUAAUGUAAGUCAAGAGAAGGGUUGUGGCAUCGAAGAGCUUGGGACCUUGAAAUAUCUUAGAGGAUCAUUGGAGAUAAGAAAUCUUGGACUAGUAGAGGGAAAAGAUGCAGCUAAACAAGCAAAAUUGUUCGAAAAGCCAAAUCUGUCUCGCUUAAGGUUGGACUUUAGACGGAAGAGGGGGCAUCGGAAAAGCGAUAACUGUGAUGAGGAUGUGUUCGAAGGUCUCCAACCUCACCCAAAUUUGCAAAAGUUGGAAAUUCGAUAUUUUAUGGGUACUAAAUUUUCGCAAUGGCUUAUCAAUUUGCCAAAAUUGGUGGAGUUGUGGAUAGAAGAUUGCAAGAGAUGCAGUGAACUCCCCUCAUUAGGACAACUACCAUCCCUCAAACGUCUCUAUUUGAACAAACUAGAAAACAUUCGAUCUAUUGGAGAUGAAUUCUAUGGUAUUACUACUAAUGAGGAGGGGGAGGAGAAGGGCAGAUCACGAGCAUCAGGGAGCAGCACUAGAAGACGAAAAUUCUUUCCGGCCCUUGAAGAACUCCGUGUAGCAUAUAUGAAGAAUUUGGUAGAGUGGAAGGAUGCAGACCAAGUGAGGUCAACAAUAGCCGAAGAAGCAGCAGAUGUCUUUCCCAUGCUGAUGGAUUUGAGCAUUCAACAUUGCCCCCAACUGACCACUCUCCCGUGCUCAUGCAAAAUUCUAGACGUGCAAUAUUGCCGCAAUCUAACAAGUAUAAAAACGGGUUACGGCACUGCUUCUGUUGAGAAGUUGAAGAUUGGCUGUUGCAACAAUCUUAGGGAGCUGCCAGAAGAUGUGUUUGGAUCGAGUUUGCAGCGGCUGAGCAUCGAAAGUUGCCCAAGAUUAAUUAGUCUGGGAGUAAAUGGGAAGAAAUGCCCACUACCAUGUCUUGAACGAUUGAGUAUUCAAUAUUGCUACGGGUUGACCACUAUAUCCGACAAAAUGUUCGAGUCAUGCCAGUCUCUGAGGUCCCUGUCGGUGGAGUGUUGCCCCAAUCUGGUGUCAUUUUCGCUUAAUUUGCAGGAGACGCCUUCUCUCGAGGAUUUCGCCCUGCUCAACUGUCCCAAAUUGAUCCCUCACAGGUUCAAUGGAUUUGCUUUUGCCACCAGCUUAAGAAAUUUGUGGAUCGGUCCCUUCUCCUCAGAUGACUCCUCAAUCGAUGGUUUUGACUGGUCUGGUUUAAGAUCUGCAUCAACACUGUGUAAGGUUCACUUAGAAGGGUUAUGUCACUCGGAUUCCCUGCCACACCAGCUUCAAUACUUGACUACCCUCACUUCACUAAACCUGAAGAACUUUGGACGAAUAGAAGUGCUACCUGAUUGGAUUGGAAACCUUGUGUCCCUUGAAACCCUACAGCUAUCGAAUUGCGAAAAGCUUCGAUGUUUACCGUCUGAGGCUGCCAUGAGACGACUCACAAAGUUAACAAGUGUUGAAGUUCGUCGGUGUCCUCUAUUAAGACAACGAUACACUCCCCAAAGAGGCAUCUACUUGGAGGAGUAGAUUUCAAGUUAUUUUGUAAGAUUUUCCUAUCUAAAGUUCACACUUAUAUGUAUACAAAUAUUUUGACAUAAAUUUGCUCUUCAGUCUCUUAUACUCUGUUUUCUCCGUCUCUUCUAUGAAAUUUCACUAGUCUUGUAAAGUUAAUCUCUGUAAUCCUCUUCUUUUUGGGCAGACCUCGGUUUCUCUUCAAAGAUUAGUUUUAACAGAUCCCGGUUUUGAACAAAUUAGAAGAGACCAAAAUUCUGGAUUUCCUCUGCCUCUCUGAAUCACUGAAAGAUUUUGAACAUCUUAAAAACUCCUUACACUUCAAAUUGUUACAUUCUAUUUGGCCAAGGACGAAAUUAUUAGCAAUGGUGAAUACACAAUUAGCCUCUUUGUUUGAAUGUGUUGGAAAAUGUUUCAUUUGAUUUGUAAUGCUACAUGUACGUGGACCCAUUCUUCAUUUUUCUGUCACCUGAUAUUGCCGGUUUGAACGGACAACAUUAAAGCUAAUCAAGAAACAUUUGCGAAGAAAAUUCAAGAAACAAUUUUCUGUUCAAGAUACAAUAAUUUUGGAUAGUUGUUUGUCAUGUUUCACAAGUUCCAGAAGUUUAUACAUCACAAUUACCAUGCAGGCCAGCAGCGAGAGCGAACAAGAAGAAGUCGAUGACAAUGAACAAGCAGGCAGAGAUGGUGAACAAAAAAGCAUUGAUAGUGUGCUCAAACAUCAGCUUCAUGGUGUUUCCCAUCGUUGCUGAAGAAGAAGAAGAGCUUAGGAGGUUUGUUGUGUAGAAAAGUGAUAAUGGAGCAUUUCUCUCCCCAAGAACUCUUUUAUUACCUCCAUCCAAUUUACUAAGAGUACAAGGAAUUGGUGCAACUUUGCAUUCUAGUAUGCUUGAGUCAUGUAAUUGGCCUAAGAACAGGGCAUUUUCCUGUACUUUUAUGUGUUUGUGAACUUUUACCCUAUGCCAACAGCUUAUCUUUUGCUCUUUAAGAUUUUUUUAUUUACUUGGUGCUAAACAUGUCUUUUGAUUGUGAAAGAAUCUGGUCUUUUCCGAUUUUCUUGCACUAGUUACUAGACCAUAACUUUUCUUUGCUUCCAUUGUUCAUUAUAAUCGGAGCCAUACUGAAAUGUACCAUUGUGAUGCUUUCUAGAGUCUUAGGAGGCAUAGCUUAUGUUAUUGGACAAAGGACACCAUCGUUUACACACCAAUUGUCACACGAUAUUGCAUAAUAGGAGAAACUUCUUGAAUUCUGGUGGGCUUUGAUUGGUUUAAGUAGGAUGAUGUUUCUUUUAUGUGUUGUACUGACCCCUUCUGUAUAGUUUACAUAGAUCUAAUUGGGCUGCUGCUUCUGAUAUGAUCCCAGAAGUACAUACGUUUAGUUUUUUAAGCUGCAAUAUCGGUUUUUCUCAAUGCACUGCCAUCACUAGUUUGUUAUAUUGGUUUCUGGUUGGUAGAUGAAUUUUUAUUGAGUUGAAGUUUCAUUUCUUAGCAUUUAUUAAUUCUAAUUUGAAUUUGCUUUUAAAUAUUUAGGCCAUGUUCUCGCUUAAAGGUAGGGAAAAUACAUUAGAGAAGAUUUGAGGAGGCUAUUGAUUACGUAAAUGAGCAGCUUCCUUCAGAUGAUUCCUCUGUUCCAGCUGUAAGACUGUUUGUUGCCAUAAAUUCAACUCUCUAGUUCUGGCUUUUCUGAAUCAGCCGAACUGAACUCUAGCUUUUUGAUUGUUUUGCAGGCUUCCGAUGCUAACCUGAAAAAUGCAACGGACAGGAAAGAGGCACAAAUCCCUCCGGAGCUUAUAACUCGAUGUGUAGCUAUUCUGCUUGACCACUCUCCCGUGCUCAUGCAAAAUUCUAGACGUGCAAUAUUGCCGCAAUCUAACAAGUAUAAAAACGGGUUACGGCACUGCUUCUGUUGAAAAGUUGAAGAUUGGCUGUUGCAACAAUCUUAGGGAGCUGCCAGAAGAUGUGUUUGGAUCGAGUUUGCAGCGGCUGAGCAUCGAAAGUUGCCCAAGACUAAUUAGUCUGGGAGUAAAUGGGCUGAAAUGCCCACUACCAUGUCUUGAACGAUUGAGUAUUCAAUAUUGUGUUGGGUUGACCACUAUAUCCGACAAAAUGUUCGAGUCAUGCCAGUCUCUGAGGUCCCUGUCGGUGGAGUGUUGCCCCAAUCUGGUGUCAUUUUCGCUUAAUUUGCAGGAGAUGCCUUCUCUCGAGGAUUUCGCCCUGCUCAACUGUCCGAAAUUGAUCCCUCAUAGGUUCAAUGGAUUUGCUUUUGCCACCAACUUAAGAAAAUUGUGGAUCGGUCCCUUCUCCUCAGGUGACUCCUCAAUUGAUGGUUUUGACUGGUCUGGUUUAAGAUCUGCAUCAACACUCCGUAAGGUUCACUUAGAAGGGUUACGUCACUCGGAUUUCCUGCCACACCAGCUUCAAUACUUGACUACCCUCACUUCACUAAAUCUGAAGAACUUUGGAGGAAUAGAAGUGCUACCUGAUUGGAUUGGAAACCUUGUGUCCCUUGAAACCCUACAGCUAUCGAAUUGCGAAAAGCUUCGAUGUUUGCUGUCUGAGGCUGCCAUGAGACGACUCACAAAGUUAACUAGUGUUGAAGUUCGUCGGUGUCCUCUAUUAAGACAACGAUACGCUCCCCAAAGAGGCAUCUACUUGGAGGAGUAGAUUUCAAGUUAUUUUGUAAGAUUUUCCUAUCUAAAGUUCACACUCAUAUAUAUGUAUACAAAUUUUUUGACAUAAAUUUGCUCUUCAGUCUCUUAUACUCUGUUUUCUCCGUCUCUUCUAUGAAAUUUCACUAGUCUUGCAAAGUUAAUCUCUGUAAUCCUCUUCUUUUUGGGCAGACCUUGGUUUCUCUUCAAAGAUUAGUUUUAACAGAUCAUGGUUUUGAACAAAUUAGAAGAGACCAAAAUUCUGGAUUUCCUCUGCCUCUCUGAAUCACUGAAAGAUUUUGAACAUCUUAAAAACUCCUUACACUUCAAAUUGUUACAUUCUAUUUGGCCAAGGAUGAAAUUAUUAGCAAUGGUGCAUACACAAUUAGCCUCUUUGUUUGAAUGUGUUGGAAAAUGUUUCAUUUGAUUUGUAAUGCUACAUGUACGUGGACCCAUUCUUCAUUUUUCUGUCACCUGAUAUUGCCGGUUUGAACGGACAACAUUAAAGCUAAUCAAGAAACAUUUGCGAAGAAAAUUCAAGAUACAAUUUUCUGUUCAAUAUACAAUAAUUUUGGAUAGUUGUUUGUCAUGUUUCACAAGUUCCAGAAGUUUAUACAUCACAAUUACCAUGCAGGCCAGCAGUGAGAGCGAACAAGAAGAAGUCGAUGACAAUGAACAAGCAGGCAGACAUGGUGAACAAAAAAGCACUGAUAGUGUGCUCAAACAUCAGCUUCAUGGUGUUUCCCAUCGUUGCUGAAGAAGAAGAAGAUCUUAGGAGGUUUGUUGUGUAGAAAAGUGAUAAUGCAGCAUUUCUCUCCCCAAGAACUCUUUUAUUACCUCCAUCCAAUUUACUAAGAGUACAAGGAAUUGGUGCAAGUUUGCAUUCUAGUAUGCUUGAGUCAUGUAAUUGGCCUAAGAACAGGGCAUUUUCCUGUACUUUUAUGUGUUUGUGAACUUUUACCCUAUGCCAAUAGCUUAUCUUUUGCUCUUUAAGAUUUUUUUAUUUACUUGGUGCUAAACAUGUCUUUUGAUUGUGAAAGAAUCUGGUCUUUUCCGAUUUCCUUGCACUAGUUACUAGACCAUAACUUUUCUUUGCUUCCACUGUUCAUUAUAAUCGGAGCCAGACUGAAAUGUACCAUUGUGAUGCUUUCUAGAGUCUUAGGAAGCAUAGCUUAUGUUAUUGGACAAAGGACACCAUCGUUUACACACCAAUUGUCACACGAUAUUGCAUAAUAGGAGAAACUUCUUGAAUUCUGGUGGGCUUUGAUUGGUUUAAGUAGGAUGAUGUUUCUUUUAUGUUUGUACUGACCCCUUCUGUAUAGUUUACAUAGAUCUAAUUGGGCUGCUGCUUCUGAUAUGAUCCCAAAAGUGCAUACCUUUAGUUUUUUAAGCUGCAGUAUCGGUUUUUCUCAAUGCACUGCCAUCACUAGUUUGUUAUAUUGUUGGUUUCUGGUUGGCAGAUGAACUUUUAUUGAGUUGAAGUUUCAUUUCUUAGCAUUUAUUAAUUCUAAUUUGAAUUUGCUUUUCAUUUAGGCCAUGUCCUCGCUUAAAGGUUGGGAUAAUAGAGAAGAUUUGAGGAGGCUAUUGAUUACGUAAAUGAGCAGCAUCCUUCAGAUGAUUCCUCUGUUCCAGCUGUAAGACUGUUUGUUGCCAUAAAUUCAACUCUCUAGUUCUGGCUUUUAUGAAUCAAACGAACUGAACUCUAGCAUUUUGAUUGUUUUGCAGGAUCCGAUCCUAACCUGAAAAAUGCAACAGACAGGAAAGAGGCACAAAUCCCUCCGGAGCUUAUCACUCGAUGUGUAGCUACUCUGCUCAUGAUUCAGCUCCUUAUAUCUCUAAGAUCCUUUAUUCCCAUCUUGUCUCUUUCUUUGCUUCAUAGAGGGCCCACUUGUGAUGAUGUUUAUAUCAGAAGUUUGAUCACUUGGACGAUUCCCUUUUCCUGUUAAAACUACAAGCUGUGCAUAUUUUGGUUUAUAUUUUCCUUAUGGCUUAUUAUCAGUUCAAAGUACUGAAUCUCAGUUUCAAUAAAGUGGAUAUUUAUGGCUAUUAAAUUGUAGCCAUAAUGAAGUUACUGACUCAAUCUAGCAACUAUUCGUAUAAUGGGAUCACUCCCUUGUUUUGCUUUUUUUCAAUGAAUUAAGGAGGAGUUGAAACUAAUCUCAAACUUCGUUUAACUGAUAAUGAAGCUCACCCUUCACUUGCUUGCUGCUGUUAGGUUUGCAUCAUUUUUGAAAUAUUUUCUUUGUCAACUCCAUUUAUUGGUUAGCAAGUUCUUUCCGCAGUUGUAGGAAUGACACGACUAGAAUAUCAGUUCUCUAUUCGAGAAUUGAACAUCUGUGCGUACAAUGUUUUAAAUGCUCUUCAUUCUACAAUUUGUUGUUUUGUUUUCUUGUGAUUUACACAGUUCGACCUUUUUGCGAAUGUAUACUUAUUGGCUUAAUAUUGCAGUCAUUUGUUGCAAAAAUGUACAGAGAGGCAGUUUCCACCAGCCGAUGUGGCUCAAAUAUUGGAUUCUGCAAUUACAAGCUUGAAGCCUUGCUGCCCACAAAACCUUCCAGUUUAUACUGAAAUACAGAAGUGCAUGGGAAUUGUCAGGAACCAAAUAUUGGCGCUUAUACCUACUUAGCCAAUAAAACUUGGACGUAUUUCUUUUUCAUAUCUGCAAUGUAGUAAUUGAUUUGAUUGCCAUCUUAGCUUCUAAGGCUACCAUGACAAAGUUUUCUGUUUGUACCCACCAACAUCAAUGCAAUGAAUUAUCACUUCCAUUAUACUUCGAAUAAGGCCAUCUAUGUUCAAAUCCAUGAUAGAUUUGCCUCUUACUUCCUGCUGUUAAGUAGAUUACCUAGCCAGAGAUUGUUGUCUCGGCCUGAAUUUGCACACAUUGCUAGCAGCUGUAGAUGUUCAAUCAAUAUUCAAAAUAUUGUGUAUUGAUCUAAGAGCUUUAGUUGUUUUACCCCUUUUAAACAAGAUAGAAUUUUUGUUAUUGUUGCUCACUGCCUGGCUGCAAAGGCCAGGAAAUUUCUUGAUAAUGGAGAAGUAUUUCCCAGUUCAGGAAAAAAGAAAAAUGAAAAAGAUAUGAAUUGAAGUACAAACUAUUUUGGCCCCUGUUGGGGUUUCAAUCCCACAUCGGCUGGGGGGGUUUGGGGGGUUUAGUAGUUAAGUCUCCUGGGUCGUCGUCAAAAGUUGCCGGCUUUUGACGAUUGGUCUGGGGUUUAGGUUUGAUGAAAUUUCCUCUUGGGUUUUCCAAGAAGAUGAAAGAAAAAAAAGUACAAACUAUUUUUAGUACGUGGUUGGCGAGAAAAAAGUAGAAAUCUAAACAUCUCUACUUUUAAUCAAGUUGUCUUAGGUGAGUUGGUCACUAAAUGAAACACAAGGUACAGGCAUGACUCGAGGUCAGAAGUUUUAACAUUGACCAAAAAAAAAAAUGGUCUACUUUUAUUUACAAAUACAACUAAAGAAAGAGAAAAUUUUGGGUUCAAUCCCCCACAUUUAGGGGGAGUUUUUUUGGGUCCCACAUUUUUUGAAAGGCAUAAUUACAAAAACACCCAUAAGGCUUGUGACAUAUCACAUGGUAUCCCUAAACAUUGAAAAAUGUCACCUACAUCCCUUAUUUUCAACUUCUUGCAACUUUGUCAACCUGUUUAAACAAAUAUGAUUUAAAAACUCAUUUUGGGAGAGAUAAGACAUUUUCAUUCCAAAAUUACCCUUGUGGACCUUUAGCUUUCAUAACAAACCAAAUCAAUUUCUUAAUAACUACAACUUGUUAAUGAAACUGAAAGACCUUUUAUAGUUUUCGAUAUCAUCUAUCUAAACAAAAAGAAAAAAAAUAGAAACUCUAAAUGAUUUAGAAGACUCAUACGAGUCAUCCAAAAAUUGUUACAGUUAAGAAAAUAACUUUUUGCACCUUCAAAACACCUCAAAUAAAUUUCUAAAUAUAUUGUCAGUAAUUUUUUCUUUUUCUUGUUUUCAAGCCAUCAAUUUGGACAGAAAUUUUGAACAUUCAAAAUAUUCUAAACAAUUUAUAGGAUCCUUAAAUUCAUCCAAAAGACUUUGCAGCAAACAAAAUAAGUUAUCUUUGAAAAUGCCUUAAAUGAGUUUGUAAACUUAAUUUUAGACAUUGUGUCCAUUUUUUAUUUUCAAAUCAUUAGCCUAUACACAAAAUUUCAAAAAUUCCAAAGAUUCUUAAAAUUUAUAAAACUCCUCCAAUUAACGAAAACCGUUACAAUAAAUGAAAUAUUUUUUCAGCUUGAAAAACCUUAAACAUAAUCUUAAAGAUUAAUCUUUUGUACCUUCAAAACAUCUGCUAGUAUAUUUUAUCUUGCCAAAAUUACGCCUGCACACUAUUUUUUUUUUUUUAAUUUUCAAGCUUUUAGUACUAUAGUUUCACUUUUAAAAAACUAGCUGAACAACGCAAGGGCAAUUUUGGCAUGAAACAUCUUCUUUCUCAAAAUUGUGUUUUUAAUAAUAUAUUUUGAAAUGGACUGAUAACGUAGUUGAAAAUGAAGGAGAUAGGUGACAUUUUUCAAAGUAGAGGGUUCCAUGUAGCAUUGUCAUGACCUUAGGAAAGGUUUCUGAAAGUAUUUCUCACCUUAUAAAAAUAAAGCAAACUAUUCCCAAAAUGACAACCUGAUAUAUAUUAUAGAAGCAAAAUUAGAACGUCACUUUAGUUUUUGUGGAAUCUAGGCACAUGUGAUAUGUGCAUGACAUUAGGUUGACGUAAAAAGGAAAAAAAAUUAAAAAUUAUAACAUAAAAACAAACCAUUCUCUUUAAAAAAAAUUUUUUUUUUUAGAACAUAAAAAGGACAGUGUAUAUGUGUGUAGUGUUAAAUUAACAACAAACUUGCAUUUACAAUAUUGAAAUACAGUAUAUAUGUCUGUGUGUAUACAUGUAGUUAACUGGAGAGUUUUGGUAUUUUAUUUUCUUUUGGAAUUGGUUUUUUCAAUAUUAUAUCUAUCGGAUUGUAGUUAACAACAGGUUUGUAUGCAUACUCAGUGUUACUUCAAUCUGACGGCGCGCCCUAUCGUUGCAGCAGUAGCAGCAAGAGCAACGCGCACGCGAUCGGUUGCACCGGCCAAAAUUUCAAACGUUCAUUUUUUUGAGUUCCAAAUAUGAAAAAGACGUGGAAGGCACAGCAAUUUAUGCUGCGCAUUUCUUUGGUGCAAAGGAUAGAAAAGGAACAGAAGGGCGUUAUUGUCAACCAUCACCUCAUAAUCAGGGUAUUAUAGUCAAGCAACAAACACACAACCCCUGCCCAACUGGUCAAGCAUCAGGCCAUUGAUUAAGAUUUUAACCAUCUCCAAAUUGACGCAAAUACCCACCUACUCAUGGUGCCCAUAGGGGGCCAUGAGCACCAUACAUACCCCGAUUCCCCCUCUUUAAUUAUCUUUGAUUGAUAUAUAUACUAACCAUUAUCAUUAUCAUUACUACAUAAAAAGUAUCAUGAGCCACAUUAUGAAGUGCAAGUAUAAGCAUUCUUGUGAUAUUCGUUUUUCUUAUUUCAAUUAUGUCAUUGUUAAUUGGUGAUUGAAGUUUCAUAUUAUACUUUUUUAAAUUUAUUAUGAUGAUUAUAAUUCAUUAAAAUUCUUUUUUUGGGUAUUUUGGAGUAUCUUUAGCAAGUUACUGUAGAUGUUUUUUUACAAAUUAUUUGUCUUCGUAAAAUACUCCAUAAACAUAGAUGCUAAACAAAAACCUAGUUUUUUUAAAAACAUUUUUAGUUUAAAAGCUGGAAAAGAUUUUGGCUUUACCACUAGUUUAAAACUUCCAAAAGGAUUAAUAAUUAAGAUUAAACAAUAAUGUUUUAAGUUUAUCUCCAGGACUAACAGACGAGUACGUUCCCUCCGGAUUGGAACGUACUCAGUCAGUAAAGAGAUGAAGGCCACAGCAACAACAUGAUUAACAAAACUCAAGUGAAAAUGCCAACCGACUUUGCCAAUGAAGCAGUGCACUUCUACACGUAUUAAGGGUCCACAUUUGGUCACAUCAUUAUCAUUUUUGGUCAUUAGAGCAUAAUACUAGAAAUAUGUGUAUGAAAUAUUUCACUUAUUAUGGCGAUGUACACUUUCAAUGCAACGAAUGUACAAUUCAAACUUGAGUUUAUGUUGUAAUGAAUAUGUAAACAAGAGUUACAUUAUGGCCUAAUCUUUGAGCAUAGAGCACAAUUGUUAAGGCACUUUUUAUCUAUUCAAUGAGCAUGCAUCAUUCAAGUUAUUCUUUGUCUAACGUCAUUAGUCAAGCACUUUAGCGAAAAGCAAGAGAUAUGUAAUUAUGUUGAUGCCCCUUUCUUGGUAAGAUGGAAGCAAAUGCAUCAUUCAAGUUAUUCUUGGCCAAAAUUCAUUCAUCAUUUGUUUAAAAAUAAUAAUAAUAAGAUAGCGACAAUGGCACGCCAAUCCCCAUGAAAGUGAGUUCAACAUCCAUGGUUGCGUAAAGUUUAAAAGGCUCAUUUCUCGAUAAUUUUACAAUUUAAUCAAAAUACUUCAUAUCUCAAGAUUCCAUGGAUUAUUAUUUUCUCUUUCCAAAAAUAAAGGUUCAAGUAAUUAGACAUCACAAGCCUGAGACACAAAGGUAAUUCUAUGUGUUUUACAUGCUUUUCAAAUUAAGAAUACUUCUUAUAGGUGCCGCAAAAAAAUCCCAAAAAAAAACGUCCUUUCUUGUUUGAUGGCACGAGAAUACUACAAUAUUUUUCAUUCUAAAGCAAAUUAUAAUUAGAGUGUCAUGGAAUACAGUAUAUAAAACAUACACAAACAAUAUUGCCAAGGUCCAAACUAGUUUCGAAAAGCAUGAGGGACUAUUUAAUCAGUUACACAAGUCAAAAAUUGCAAUGUAACGCAUUCUAUUGUUGGACCAAUUACGUGAUGAGAUCACUAAGCCUCAUGAAUGAGACACGAAGGUCAUUGUCCACAAAUCAGGCUACUUUUUGAAGCCAGUUCCCAAAACAUGACGGUUUUCAAACAAACGUAUUCAGUGAAUGCGUUUUUUGGGAAAUGCAUUCGCUAAAUGCAAUGUUUAAAAUUUUAAGAAAAAAAUAUAGUUUUAGUCCCUAAUGUUUAAUCUCUAUGCAAUUUUAGUUCUUAAAGUUUUGACAAAAGUAAUCUGGUCCUCAAUGUUUAGUAUAUGUAUAGUUUUAGUCCCUAAAGUUUUGGCAAGAGCAAAUCCGACCUCCAAUAUUAUCAAUUUGAAGCAUUUUUAGGACAACUGGUGGAUUUUUCUAAAUAUUGAUCGAAUCAGUCAUCUUUGGUCACAUAUUUGUCGAAAAACUUCUUAAAAAGUAGCGAAAUAACAAGUAAUCUUGAACAAUAAGAAUAACUUGCACGCUAGCACAUUAAUAACUAAUUAAUUGAGAGAAAAAAAGAAAAUUUGUUAAUCUAUACCUAAAAUUAGGUCUUACAAUUUUUUUUUUUUUUGCUUGGAGACAUUGGGAAUAGUCAAUGAAAAUGAAUUCUGGAUUGAUGAACUAGGUACAUUGAAGUUUUAAAUUAAAAAUUUUCCUUCUUUUAACUAUUUAAUUAGUUAGGACAUGAGUUAUGAGUUCUUAAUUUUGUUGCUUCAACUUAGCUACUAUUUUGCUUCUUUAUUUUGAAAUUUAAAUUAAUAGGCAAAUGAUUAGGCGUGACUAUAUUUUGUUAGUAAUUGAGAUAAAAUUAUUCAAAUGUCCUAAACUAGAUUCAAAUUGGAUAUAAUGGGGACCAAAUUUGCUCUUGCUAAAACUUUAUGGACUAAAACUGCAGACGUGCUACAUAUUAAGGAUCAUGUUUGCUUUUGUUAAAACUUUAAGGACUAAAACUGUACAUGGGCUAAACAUUGAGGACUAAAAUUGCAUUUUUUUAAAAAUGGAAAAUUUAUGCCUACAAAGAAUGAAAAGUGGCAUUUAGGAAAUGCAAUUUUUUAACAAUUGGGGUCGGUCUAGUGGCCAAAAGAGAGCCUUUAGAGUUUUCAUGGUCAUUAGAUUUAGGGUUUGAAUCCUGUAUCUGACAGUUGAGAGCAGGAAAGGUGUAGGGAUAGGUGGGAGGGUUAAGAAAAAUGCAACUUUUCUCAAAAGUUGCAAUUACGAAAUAUGUUUUUCACCCUUUGGAAAGAAGUUUGAAAAACAUCACUUUUAGGAAUUUCUUUUUAAAAACUAGCACUCAUUGGGGAUAUACUGACGGGCUUUUGAUAUGUGUAUAAGUUUAAAUCCAAUUUACUCUUUUUGACUGUAAGUAUCACUACAAGAAAAACAGCUUAUAAAGGCGCAUGAAAAUGUCACAAGUCACACUUUGUUGAGGCACUUAAUAUAUUGAGGCAGAUACCUAGUGUACCAUGUAAAACCUAUGUCACAAAAGCUUUUGAAGGCACAAUUAAGUGCCACAACAUAGAAAACAAUUCAGACAUCCAGAAGUGCCAAAACAAGGUUAUAAUACUGUUGGCUUGUCAAACCAGCAAAAAUAAAAGUUCCUACUCUAAAAAUAUGAAUUCGAGUGUAGUGGUGAGUAGGGUCGUAUCCACAGGGAUUGGGUGAUUUAUUUCUUUGUGAAAAAUGGGGGAUUAGGAGAAAUUAACCAAAUAGCUCACUUGAAUAAAAAUAAAGACAGUAUCACAAAAUUAAAUAAAACUAAAUCAAGAAAAGGCAACACUCUAGUCGAAGGUCUAAUCUCCACUUUGGUUCAUUUAAUUGAUCAUCGAUGCAAAGGUGAAAUCACUUAUUCAUAAAUAAACUGGUUAUGGUUGUCAACACGCUCUGACAACCUGCCUCACCUUACUGUUUCGAUAACCACAACACGCUCUGUGGCUAUUUCUCUUACCAAUUAAGCAACCCUAAACAAGCUCUUAGGAUUUAACCUAUUGACAACAUUAAUAAUUAGAUAAACUACCAAUUCUAACCAACAAACACACACGCUCGGUUCAUUUAAGUUAGAUUAUAUAUUCCCGUGACAUAGAUUCGAAAGUUUCUUUUACAAUCAAAUUAUAUCACGCGCCACAGAUAUUAAAACCAUCAAACAAUUACGGAUUUGAUAUUUUAGAUGGCAAUAGACUAUUUCGACAAUUAAAUAUUGAUCAGGUAUUUAACUGUAGCAAAUAAUCAUAGUCAUGAAUGAGCAGAGAAUAUAUAAAUACUCAUAAAUAAAUGAAGCAAACAAAUCAAAUUAGAUCUCAUAGUAUUGUAGAACCAAAGCUUCAAUUAUCCUUCAACUAAAAAAGGAAUUAAUUAGCCGCUCCUCCUGGUAGAGUCGCGCGCCACAAGGAAUACUAGGGUUUAUUGUAGAGAAAAAGAGAAAAAGAAUGAGAGCUAGAGAAAGAAUUCCCCCUGGCCGAAGGCUUCCCUCCUUCUUAUACUCCUACGAGACUAGUUUAAUCCCCAUGGACCAAGGAAAUUGUCUCCUAAAAGGAAAAGACUUCCUUUUCUAGUCUUAUUCCUACUUAAACUAAUAAAGUAAUAAAAGUUCAAUAAGCUAAUUCCUUUCCAAAUGGAAUGCAUCGCUCCACAAUUGAUCAGAACUUCCAAUUUGUGGCUAAUGUAGCAAUCAAGGACACGGCAAGUGCAAUUCCGUGGAUUCAGUCCUUCACUUAGUCAUCUCGCGUGCCCACGUCUUAUAGAGUGCAGUCUUCUGAAAUUCAGCUUUAAUGCCCUUUUUACUCCAUUCUCAUCAACAACUUGUAAAAACAAUACCAAAAAUCAAAUAUGAAUAAAAUUUAUCGCUUAACACCACAUUUUAGCAAAAUAAAGGGGAAAUUAUUCACCAAUUAUAUGCACAAUCAGCCACUUAACAAAUGCUAACACCUAAAAAUGCCUUAAUUGGGAUUCAACUUUCAAGAACUCAGCUUUUUAGAGGCACAAAACAAUGUCAUCUUAACUUUAAGUUGACACUUAUAAAUGCCUUAACAGUCCGUUCUUGAGAUAGUAGUAAAUGUCAAAAAAUGAUUGUUAUUGAGGCAUGCAAGUAUGUCAAUGUAUAUCUUAAUGUAGAUACUGGCAUAUGCCUCUAUAUUAACCUUUAAAGAUGUUUUAAAAUGCCUCAAAAACCUACUGUGUAACAAGAAAAUUUCUACUGCGAAAAACCGUUAUCGCAACACUUACAAGUGCCUCAAUAGACUGAAUUUGUUUUUCUUUUUUAUACCCAGCCACAGGUAUUACGGUGAAUAUAGCAUUCCUAUUGUAUCAAUAUAAUCAUACAUUCAUAUUGGACAUCUCACAUUCAAUGACCAAAACCAACAAUAUUUGAUUGAACAACCACUUUCAAAUUAUCUCCAUAACCAAUGAUUACAAUUAAAGUGCUCAUAACUUCUAGUAGUUUUUCAACCAACCAAUUAAACUUUCAUCCUUGCAAAAAAAAAAACAUAAUAUUUGAGACAACAUUCAUGAAACAGCUAGAAUAUCCUACUGAUUGUUUGCCACGAUUUCACCUAAAUAGCACUAGAUAAAUUAAAAUCAACUAAACCGCUGGUAGACCAACUUCUUGUAAUAUAUGCAACAACACUUUGUCCUUUUACAGUUAGAGCACUUCCAUAUAAAUGGAUAAGUAUCCAUAUGCUGCAACACCUUGUCCACUUUUGAAUUUCAGCACAUCAAUCUUCGCAAAUUUUACCUAUAGCAUAAGUAUAUUAUGUAUUAAAAUCCAUCAUAAUUAUCCAAUGAAACAAACAUAUGAGAUAUUAUCAGUUAACAUAAUUUGAAAGCUAGAAAAGCAAAAACAUACUAGUUUUGUUGGUCAAGCUAUAGGAGCACCAAUUGAGUCAGCAAGUCUGUAAUAGCUAGAGAACAAAUAGUUUAGCAGGUUUUCUAUAUCUUAUCUUAUACAUUAAUAAGUUCCAAAAGGAGAGGUUGAACAAUUACCUUCUCGACUAUAUUUUUUUUCGAUGUGCCAAUAAGGAAUGGAUGAUGUAAGCAGCAAAGUAGUCCGACAGAAAUACAUUUGGAAGCAGUCAAAACGGAAGAUCCAAUUACAACCGAAGCCUUCACCAAAAGCUCCACAGGUGGGAUGAAGGGCACUUGAGGAUCCAACAAAUUUUCAGAGUCACUGCAAGCCAAACAAUAAAAUAAAUAAAAAGAACAAAAAAGAAUAAGUAAAUUAUGUACAAGGGUAAGUACAAGAUCAUAAUAAUCAACUAAAUUCCAACUGUUGCACUGAAGUUUAAGCCAAAAGACAAACUGACAUACAAGAAUCUAUCUUACAAGCAAAAAUAUAGUAGGAAAAAUGGUGCACAUGAUUUUGGAGGCCAUUCCUUGAGUGAAACAAAUCCACAACAUAGUUAAUAUUAUUACAUGGCCUCUCAAACACCUCUGGUACAAGGAACAUGGUCCAAUACCCAGCCAAGUCCAUUCAUAGACAUACCCAGAACUCCAACAUCAAUUUUGAACCAAAACUUCACAAUUAGUCAAGUCAUCUGCACCCCAGCAUGAAAAUACAUGCUUACUAAGCUGCAUCUGCCCCAAAAUAUCUCACAAUCAAACAGCAUCACUUUGACCAACAAAUCACCACUACCACAACCUUUUGAACUGUAACUAUAAUACCAUUUCUACCAGAUCCUUAAAGUAUAACAUCAAGAUUCACAUGAACUACAGGCAAUCAAAGACAAUUUGCAGUUUACUUCAUAAUAUAUUAAAUCCCAAAGCACCCAUAGAUGAAGAAAUUACUUGUCUAGAUCAAAGCGUUUUCUAGGCUACACUUGUCUACAAAAUUACUAUAAAGUGGUCAUUGCUCAUUAGAAAGACUUAAAAAGCACCCAAAUCAAGAAGAACGCUAUAUAAGUCAGUCUAAUUAUUGGGGUAAAGAAAAACAGAUCUUUCUCCAUAUUUACAUUCUUAGGUCUUGAUCAACCUGUCAACAAAUAAUUUCAUGCAUAGUUUUUUUUUAUGAAUUCAUCAUCAUCAUCAACAUCAAAAGCACACUGACUCAGAACUUUUACAAGAAAGCGCUCGCUUGAAGAAAAAACACAAAGGGCUGUUUACUUAUGCAACUAAGAAAUCAUAGACAAAAAAACAGAGAGAGACAACCACCCUUAAUUCAAUAAAAUCCCAAUCUCUCUGAUUAUCUCAUUUGGCCUCAAAGAAAAUGGCUCAGAUCUUUCAUCAGAGCAAAAGAGGGAGAGAACCACCGCCAUGGCUGCAAAAACCCAGUUGCAUGCAAAAGGGAGACGGGAAAGAAUCCCCCAUUUUCAGGCCAUCAGGGUUGCCCUGCUAAGAUACGGGUCUGUUCACCUCAAAUUGCCCUGCAAAAGAAAAACUUGCUCCGAUUUUGAGAAUAAAAAAUAAUCAUCACAGCCUUUUUGACGUCAUCUUUUCUUUUCUUUCCUAAACUCGCAAAGUAAAGCCCUGGGAAGUUUUCCAGGGAAUCGGAGUACAAGGGCUCGUUUGGUUCGACUCAGUAAAAAAAAAUGGGGGCGCUAAGUGUAAUUAACCCUUGUCUAAAACGAUGAAGGGAUGUCAGUUUUGCUGUAAUGUGAUGGAGAAAGAAAUCAUAGGCUAAGAAGUAGAGAGGGGCAACCACCCUUGAAGAAAAUCCCAUCUCCCUGCUCGCAUCAUUUCUCGGAGCUCCCUCAUGCCUAGUUGGAAAAAAAAAAGAAAUUUUUUUUCUAGUUGGAAAAAAAGAAAGUCAUGAAAUCCUUCAUCUUUAUUGACAGAAAUAAGAUCAGAAAAGCAAGAUUCGACUAUCUUAAGGCCGAAACCUUGGGAUUAAUCUUACCUACCAUUCAACUAUAUAUCAUGGAAAACGUUGUUCAUGCGUCCUGGUGGGUAGUCGAAGAUGAAAAUGCAUUCAGCUGCUCGCCCAAUUCUAGACCCACCAAAGUGCUUUUUGUUUCUCUCUGCUGCACUUUUCUUUCUAGAGAACUAGUGAGAGCUGGGAAUGAUUUUUGGGAAAAUUUGAGGGUCGAGGACCAAGAGACAGAGAGUGAGGGAAAGAAAUGGGUCAAUGAAAAAUGAAAGUGUUGGAGAUGGUAGAUUGGUUGAGGACCGAGAGGGAGAGUGAGACAGAAAGAUGGGCACUUGGGAUUUGGAAUUUGGGACAAUUUUGCCGCUAUUCUUAGGCGCCAAUUGGGGCAUUUUUGCUGUUUUUUUAGUGAAACAAUUUGCCGCUUCUUUUAAUGGGCCAAUUUGGGAUUGUAUUUCCUUCUAAUAAUUGUUGAGGCACAUCUUUAAAAUGCCUCUAUAAUUAUAUUCUUUAUAUUCUUUUAUUUUCAGUUUUUCUUAUAAGAUUUGUCCCUUAUACAUUGUCUUUUUUAUUUAAUUAAUAAGUGCUAAUAUGGCAAAAACUACCUAAUGCCUUAAUAAGUGUUUAUUUGAGGCAUAUACUAAAUAGUGCCCUAACAAGUAUAACAUAAUAGGGAAAUUUUCUUGUAGUGUAUACAAGUCAAAUUAGUAAUUUAGACCAUAUAUCGAGUCGAUCCUGCAAGGAAGAUUGGAUAAUUACCAGCACUACUAAAACUUCUCUAUUAUUUAGACGAUCAAUGAAUUAAAUAAAAGAAAACUAUGCUAAACUUAUGCAUGAAAAUUACAAAUGAAAGCUUCUUAGGUUAUGAUAUCCCUAACUAUCCAUGCAAGUGAAAUUACCGGUUAAUUGAAUGGUAUUAUCUUGGCUAGUUAUGAUGUAAUUUCCUAAUAUACGUGAUAUCCGCUUUCGCCAGUGUACCAACUAUACCUAUAAUUAAUUCAUACCUACUUUCGUGGUUAUGAAACUAACUACAGUUUCAUUUCUUCUAUGAAAUUACAUGAAAUAAGUCACUAAAGCCACAAAAGUGCACCUCUACUUUUGUGAGUAUAUUCCCUAUAUUUAUCACUUUCUUGAACUAGUAUUAAAUCUCAACUUUCAUUGCAAACUUAAAACUUUAAAAUUAUCAUAAUUAAUGAUUGGCUAAUCAUGAUUAGAGAAGCAAAAAGUGAUAAAUAACUUGCUCAAAAUAAUAUCAUCAAAUAGUCAAAUAAUAAACAUUAACAAUCAUAGAAAGUUCAACCAAACCAAAGGCAUAAACUUUAAAAACACAUAAUAAACAUAGAAUCCAAACUUGUAUAUUAACUAAACAAUAGAAAAAGAAAUGUAACCUUGUCACAUGAGUUUAUCGCCUCCGUUUUCAUCUCCUUCUUCAUCUUUGCCUAGCUAAUAAACAAAAAGGAUGGACUAACUAAUUAAACUAUCCUAUACUAUACUAACCUAACACUAAAAAAAUGUAAGAACUACAUUUUAGUGGUAUUUCUUGCACUCUCCAAACUCUCUUGAAUCUUGCAACUCCAUGGCUAUUUAUAGAUGAAUUUAGUCAAGAACUGAGGCUUCAAACAUCACUUUUACAGCUGCAAAAUAGUUGUCACACGUCCAUCAAUAGCUGUGAAUUAUUAGAGGAGAAAACAAGUUGUGCAAGUGGAGAGCAGCUAUUUCUGACCAAAAUCCAGCCAAUAAUCAGUCUAGAAACUAGCCGGAUUGUCGGCUGGAUUGCUUCCCUGCUUUACUUCUCAAUUUCUAUUCAGUCUUCAAUGUUAUUCCAAUUUUGCAUAAACUUCAACUAAACUUUUCUUGAUGAUAGAGGCUGAAUUAACUCGUGACCAAAACAUAAAAUAUAAAACUUGUAUCCCUUUGAGUUAACUUUCCAAUGCAUCAAGAAUCACCUCAUUUGGAUUUGUGUAGGCUGGAAAAUGAUGGAAAUGCCCUUGACUGCUCAAUGCCUUGUUUCAAUUUCAACCAUAGAAAUUGACUAUUGUAAUUUGGCUUUUUGACCAGGAAAACCUUAAAAAUGGAUUUCGAUGUCUUCACAAGAAUUGUAGAUCUAUCUCUUAUCUUCAAACCAGUUCAAGAAUCAUCUCAAUCCGAUUAUUGUAGCUCAAGUUAUAGCCAAAAUAUAAAAAUGUGUCAAAUCUGUCAACUUUCCUUUUUCAUCCAAAUAAAGUCUAUUUCUAAUUCCUAUAAAAAAAUUAUGGACAAAAUGCAAGUAAAAAGGACAUAAAUCUCAUUUAAACACUUAAGAGCAUUUCAAACUAAUUAUAGCCAAAAUAAUCCAUUUUCUUCCUAUAAUAUUGCCAAAGUGACUAAAAGUGGAAUAAAAUAUUAUCCAAAUAUAGUACAAAAUAGUCAUGAUACUCCAUCAUCCACAAGAUAAUUCUAUGUGCAAAACCAGCCAACUAGCAAAAUAAGUAAUACAUUGACAAUAAUGGAGAACCUUUUGGUCUCUCGUUUCUAACGAGAUGAAGUAACUGCCCCUGGGCGAUCCUUUGUAAAGCCACCCUGAAUUGAAGAAAGCUCAGGCAAAAAUGCCAAGCAACUUCCAUUGCAAAAGCAUUUAAUUUCCCACUGAAUCGAAGCCCAGCACUACACUGAUUGGGAGCUUCUUAUUUGUCACAUAAUUAUCAUCAUUUCUUGUACCGAAACAUAGUAGUCGAAGUUGAGUUGGACCACGGGGAUGUUAAUGUAAGCAUAAAUACCUCAUGUGAUUAGGGUGGUUGUACACCUUGAAUGCAUCCAAUGUACAAUCCAGCAUGGAUUUGUGUUGUAAUUAGCAUGUGCAAAUAAUGGAACUAAUAAUAUGGACCAUUAAGCUUUGUAUUCAAUCAGUAAAGAUGAAGGCACUGAUUAAGAAAAUUCAGGUGAAAAUGCAAAGAAACCUCAGUGGCAAAAGCAUCCAACUUUACCAACGAAGCACUGCACUUCUGCACAGAGAUUGAGGGCUUUUAUAAUCCGUCACACGAUUCUGGUUAUUACUUGUUAAUAUUAGAAUUUUGGGGUAGUAAACAUGCAUUGACAUGAACUUCAAACAAAUGUACAAUUUAAGCACGAGUUUGUGUUGUCAUGAACAUGUAAAUAAGAUUCACAUUAUGAGUAAUCUUUCCCACAAUUUGUCUCAAGCAAUUAUGCCUAAUAGUUUGUUGUCAUUUGACAAAAAAAAAAAAAAAAAAGAUAUGUAACAAGAAGUAUGUAAUUUUUCAAGCCCCUUUUCUGAUAAGAUUGAAGCACAUUCAUCAUUCGAGUUAUUCUUCACCAAACUUCACUCAUCAUGUUUUUUAUUAUUAAAAGAGUGACAAUAUGCCAUUACCAAUCCCCAGAGCAUGAAAGAGAGCUCAACAUCUUUGGUUAUGUAAGUCUAAAAGGCUGACUUCUGAGGAAUUUUACAAUUUAAUCAAAGUACUUCAAUUUCAAGAUUCAUUGAUUCUUAUUUUCUUUUCCAAAAAAAAAAAAUAGAAGUUCAAGAAAUUUGACAUCACAGGUCAUACUCUUGGGACACAGACAUAUAUAACCAUCCUAUGGAUGUGCUUCACCUGUUUUUUAUAAAUAAAAAUGACUGCACUAUUGAAUACUUCGUAUGGCUUUUUCUUUCUUCUCCCAAGGAAAAUUUCCUUUCUUGUAAUAACACUAGACUACUAAAGUAUUUUAUAAGCUAAAAGCUAAUUAUUAUUAGACUAAGUGUCACGAAAAGAGUAUUAAUAUUUCUAAACUAGUUUCAAGAAGUAUGAGACACGAAGGUGAUCAUCCAAAAGAUAUUUCUGCACAUAGAAGAUCCAAAAUAACUGUUAAUUAUAAAGCACUAAUUGGGCAAUGUAGAACUCUGGAAAAGCAUUUUACUCUUUUUUCCAAUUUGAUUGUGAUCAUCGUUUAUUGUCCCUCCUGGAUGGAACUUUAAGUUACACCACUUUUCCAACAGUCAUUCAGAUAUAUUCAGAUUAAAGGGUUCGGGCAUUCAAUCAGUAAAGAUGAAGGCCCCAUCAACAACACGGAUUAAGAAAAUUCAGGUGAAAAUGCAAAGAAACCUCAGUGGCAAAAGCAUCCAACUUUGCCAACCAGGCGCUGCACUUCUGCACACGGAUUGAGGGCUUUUGUAAAUCCAUCACACCAUUUUUGUUAUUUCUUGUCAAUAAAACGUAUGUAUGCAUAUGAACUGUCUCAGUCAUUAUGGUGAGUCUACACCUUCAAUGCAACAACUGCACAAUAUUUUAAUUAAGCACAGGUUUGUGUUGUAAUGAAUAUGUAAAUAAGGGUCACAUUAUGGUUAAUAUUUUCCGUAAUUUGUCUCAAGCAAUUAUGCCUAAUAAUUUGUUGUCAUUUGAUUAAAAAAAACAAUGAGAUGCGACAAAUUCAAUGUUCCAAGUUUUUUUUUUUCUGUUCAAACUUCAUUCGUAGAACAUUUUAACAAAAAACAAGAAAUCUGUAAUUGAAGCACAGUCAUCAUUCAAGUUAUUCUUUACCAAGUUAUUUUUUUUAGGGUAAAUUCCACUUUACCCCCUUGCGGUUUAGCUUUUUUUCACAUAACCCUCUAGUGGUUUCAAAAGCCAUACAUAACCCCCUUAUGAUUUGGAUUAAAGUGUCAAAGUGACGGAAAUUAUCAUUCGUAAUGGCGUCACCUAAAAUGUCAAAAUUACCCUUAUGUAAAGUUAAAAAUUAUUUAUUAACCAAGGGGGUUAUGUGUAUAUUUUGAAAAUCAUAAGGGGGUUAUAUGGUAAAGUACUAAACCAUAAGAGGGUUAUAUGGUAAAAUAUAAUAAGCAUACGGGGUUAAUGUGUCAUGUAUUUAUAAGGGUAAUUUCGACAUUUUUAGAAGUUCCGUUACGAGUGACUAUUUCCGUCACUUUGACACUUUAAUCCAAACUAUGAGGGGGUUAUGUAUAGCUUUUGAAACCAUAGGGGGUUAUGUAAAAAAGGGUAAACCACAGGGGGAUAAAAUGUAAUUUGCCCUUUUUUUAUUAUUGUUGUAAAAAAAUCGGGCUUUUUAUUAUUAAAAGAGCGACAAUAUUUUAUUACCAAUCCCCCACGCAUGAAAGUGAGCUCAACAUCCUUGGUUGUUUAAAGUCUAAAUGGCUCGCUUCUGAAGAAUUUUACAAUUUAAUCAAAGUACUUCAAUCUCAAGAUUUCAUUGAUUCUUAUUUUUUUUUUCAAAAAUAAAAGUUCAAGUAAUUCGACAUCACAGGUCCGAUUCUUGGGGCACAAAGGCAUAUAUAACCAUCCUAUGGAAGUGUUUUUCAUGUUUCAUAAAAAAAAUGUGACACCAAUUCCCCAUGAGAAUGGACACAAAAUCCUUGGUUUUGUGAAGUUUAAAUGGAUCAAUUCUGAACAAUUUUACAAAAGAAACAAAUUACUGAUGAUUAUCUUACAAUUCCUUGAUGAUUGUUCUCUUCAGAAAUAUACGUUCAAGUAAUUUGAGACACAAACCUAUAAACCAUCCACUUUAUGUCUCUAUUCUUAACCAGCCAAGAAGCAAGGUAGCUGGUCCAAAAAGAAGAUUCCCUGUUUGUUUGUAAGAAAAGUUUCUCUACCUAAUAGGAUUAUUGCUAUAGUUUAGUUUCUUUGUAACUAAUUAUUACAACAGUUUAGUUUAAUUUUCCAAUGCUUGAGGCUCCCACUGUAGAAUAAAGCACUAGCACUCGAAGUCCUAUCUUAGAAGCAAUUCAAAUUCUUUUCUUCUCCAAACAUUUCUGCUUUUAGCUGCUGAAGCUGAACAAUUCCUUCUUACUCAUUCCAAAAAUCAUCCUGAUCACCACCUUAAUUGAUACUAGAAUACUUUUCUUCUAAUUUCAAUCCCAAGCAAGAAAAAAAUGGCCGAUACAGCUAUUAGCGCUACUAUUCAGGUUGCAUUGGAGACGGUUAUUUCCCUUUCCGCUGAUCGUGUUAGUUUGGUUCUUGGAUUCAGAGAGGAGUUGAAGAGAAUAUGCAACACUGCUGAAACCAUCCGAGGUAUCCUGGCUCAUGCCGAUGGGAAAAUGCAUAUCCCAGGGAUGAAAAAUUGGCUCAAGCAGCUUGAAGGAGAGCUUUUUGAAGUGGAGAAUGUGCUGGACGAACUCAACUAUGAAACUCUACGUCGGGAGGUGAAGUAUAGAAAUAAACUCAAGAAGAAGGUAUGCUUCUUCUUCUCGUACUUUAAUACAAUUGGUUCUCGUUCAAGGUUGGCUUCAAAGAUCAGGGAGAUCAACAGGAACCUAGAAAGGAUCAAUCAGGAAGCAAAUAACUUUGGAGUGGUCUCCCAGUUCCAUAUUGAAGCCUCACUCCCUGCUGCUUCUGGAGCCACAGCAAGCCGACAAACCGACUCUAUUCGUGUUCCAAAUGUUGGAAGAGUCGACGAUGAAUCAAAGAUUGUGGACAUGUUAUCGAGCCCCUCUGAAAAGGUUCUUUCUGUUAUUCCAUAACAGGCCCGGGAGGUUUGGGAAAGACAACUCUGGCGAAAUCAGUCUACAAUAAUCCAAAAAUAGAUGGGCACUUUGGCCAAAAAAUUUGGGUUUGUGUGGCUAAAGAACACAUUAAGAUAAUGGAGCUGUUCAAGCUCAUUUUGGUACAAUUGACACGAGAAGAAGUUAAAGUGGAUAACAGAGAGGUUAUCGUUAAAGAAAUUGGAGAAAAGCUGAAGGGAAAAAAAUAUUUCCUUGUUCUUGAUGAUGUGUGGAAUCAUGAUCAAGGAUUGUGGAGUGAUUAUUUCAACACUUUGAUGGGACUCAACGAAACCAAAGGAAGCUGGUGUCUUCUCACUACUCGGUUGAAACCAGUGGCUGAUGUUGUAUGUACACAUUUGAAGAUGAAUAGCGGUCCUUAUUUCUUAGGAAAGCUAUCAGGUGAUGAGUGCUGGUCCAUCAUAAAAGGAAAGGUGAUGAGUGCAGGGGAAGAAGUACCAGAAGAAUUGGAAGCAUUGAAGAAGCAAAUUUUAGGGAGAUGCGAUGGCCUACCCUUGGCGGCAAGUUUGAUUGGUGGCUUGUUGCUUAACAACAGAAGAGAGAAGUGGCACUCCAUUGUGCAGGAGAGUCUUUUGGAUGAAUGUCAAAGUGAGAUUGAUCAAAU
rnacentral:lncRNA from 1 species